CAGCAGCCGCGGUAAUACGUAGGUGGCAAGCGUUGUCCGGAAUUAUUGGGCGUAAAGGGCUCGCAGGCGGUUUCUUAAGUCUGAUGUGAAAGCCCCCGGCUCAACCGGGGAGGGUCAUUGGAAACUGGGAAACUUGAGUGCAGAAGAGGAGAGUGGAAUUCCACGUGUAGCGGUGAAAUGCGUAGAGAUGUGGAGGAACACCAGUGGCGAAGGCGACUCUCUGGUCUGUAACUGACGCUGAAGAGCGAAAGCGUGGGGAGCGAACAGGAUUAGAUACCCCGGUAGUCCCUGUCUCUUAUAC
rnacentral:rRNA from 1 species